CGGUGAGUGGCGCAGCUUGGUAGCGCAACUGGUUUGGGACCAGUGGGUCGGAGGUUCGAAUCCUCUCUCACCGACCA
rnacentral:tRNA from 1 species